rnacentral:lncRNA from 1 species
UUCAUAUUAGGUGAAUCUUUAGAGUAAAUUUCUAGAUGUGAGCUUGUAGGUCCAGAGGUAAAUAUAUGGGAGGUUUUGUUAGCAGACACCUGGGCAACAGCAUUUUAGGCAGACGCAAGACAAUCACAGAACUCUGAGGAAGGGGCAUGUAGCCAGUAUUGCCAAGGAAGUAGCAAGCAGGGCCCAUGAUAAAAGAUCUGGAGAUGAAAGAGACUUGUUCAAGAGGCUACAUACUGGUAUUAGAGUUGAAUGAGAACACUCUUCCAUAUUUCCACUUCACUACAGCACACUUAUUAGAUAGUCGAAGAAUUCAUGAAUGGGAAACAGUAUUUAAACAAGACCAGUAUUGUCAGGUCAGAGAUGGGAGAAGUUUAUAUGGAUCACAGUCAAAAAAGAAAAUAGAGGAGGUGAGAUGUGGAGGAUGAUUUGGAUUGGAAUAGCAGGAGAAGAGGACUAUAUUCCUAAUUUUUGGAACUUGUAAUAGCUAUGGGCUUGGAGGAGAAAACAAAUGAAUAGCUCAUUUGAGAGAUGAAGCCAG